rnacentral:misc_RNA from 1 species
ACCUUUCAAAUCAGGGUGCGGCGCGGCCCCCGAGGAGCGGAAACAAUCCUUGGGAGGUAUGCGGGGGCUUCGAGCCCCCCAUUUACGCACGCACGACUGCCAUCCUUACUUUACGAGCACCUUCUGUUCUCCCUCGGCGGGGCAACCUGCCGUUGGAACCGAAUAAACUCUUUUUGCAUCUAGCAUUACCUGUUCCGAAACAAACGAUCGUUA